rnacentral:rRNA from 1 species
GACGAACGCCGGCGGCGUGCUUAACACAUGCAAGUCGAACGCUGAAGCUUGGUGCUUGCACUGGGUGGAUGAGUGGCGAACGGGUGAGUAAUACGUGAGUAACCUGCCCUUGACUCUGGGAUAAGCCUGGGAAACUGGGUCUAAUACUGGAUAUGACAUGCCACUGCAUGGUGGUGUGUGGAAAGGGUUUUACUGGUUUUGGAUGGGCUCACGGCCUAUCAGCUUGUUGGUGGGGUAAUGGCCUACCAAGGCGACGACGGGUAGCCGGCCUGAGAGGGUGACCGGCCACACUGGGACUGAGACACGGCCCAGACUCCUACGGGAGGCAGCAGUGGGGAAUAUUGCACAAUGGGCGGAAGCCUGAUGCAGCGACGCCGCGUGAGGGAUGACGGCCUUCGGGUUGUAAACCUCUUUCAGCACGGAAGAAGCGAGAGUGACGGUACGUGCAGAAGAAGCGCCGGCUAACUACGUG